rnacentral:rRNA from 1 species
GCAGUCGAACGGUAAGGCCCCUUCGGGGGUACACGAGUGGCGAACGGGUGAGUAACACGUGGGUAAUCUGCCCUGCACUUCGGGAUAAGCCUGGGAAACCGGGUCUAAUACCGGAUAUGAACUCCUGCCGCAUGGUGGGGGUUGGAAAGUUUUUCGGUGCAGGAUGAGCCCGCGGCCUAUCAGCUUGUUGGUGGGGUAAUGGCCUACCAAGGCGACGACGGGUAGCCGGCCUGAGAGGGUGAUCGGCCACACUGGGACUGAGACACGGCCCAGACUCCUACGGGAGGCAGCAGUGGGGAAUAUUGCACAAUGGGCGAAAGCCUGAUGCAGCGACGCCGCGUGGGGGAUGACGGUCUUCGGAUUGUAAACCCCUUUCAGUAGGGACGAAGCGCAAGUGACGGUACCUGCAGAAGAAGCACCGGCUAACUACGUGCCAGCAGCCGCGGUAAUACGUAGGGUGCGAGCGUUGUCCGGAAUUACUGGGCGUAAAGAGCUCGUAGGCGGUUUGUCACGUCGUCUGUGAAAUCCCUCGGCUUAACCGGGGGCGUGCAGGCGAUACGGGCAGACUUGAGUACUACAGGGGAGACUGGAAUUCCUGGUGUAGCGGUGAAAUGCGCAUAUAUCAUGAGGAACACCGGUGGCGAAGGCGGGUCUCUAGGUAGUAACUGACGCUGAGGAGCGAAAGCAUGGGUAGCGAACAGGAUUAGAUACCCUGGUAGUCCAUGCCGUAAACAGUGGGCGCUAGGUGUGGGGUCCUUCCACGGACUCCGUGCCGUAGCUAACGCAUUAAGCGCCCCGCCUG